rnacentral:rRNA from 1 species
UACGGAGGGUGCAAGCAUUGAUCGGAAUUACUGGGUGUAAAGGGCGCGUAGGCGGCAGGAAAAGUCGGAUGUGAAAUUCCGGGGCUCAACCCCGGAGCUGCAUUUGAAACUAUCCAGCUAGAGGUUAGUAAGGGAAAACGGAAUUCCACGUGUAGCGGUGAAAUGCGUAGAUAUGUGGAAGAACACCGGUGGUGAAGACGGUUUUCUGUGCUAAACCUGACGCUGAGGCGCGAAAGCUAGGGGAGCAAACAGG